rnacentral:rRNA from 1 species
UACGAAGGGGGCUAGCGUUGCUCGGAAUCACUGGGCGUAAAGGGUGCGUAGGCGGGUCUUUAAGUCAGGGGGUGAAAUCCUGGAGCUCAACUCCAGAACUGCCUUUGAUACUGAAGAUCUUGAGUCCGGGGAGAGGUGAGUGGAACUGCGAGUGUAGAGGUGAAAUUCGUAGAUAUUCGCAAGAACACCAGUGGCGAAGGCGGCUCACUGGCCCGGUACUGACGCUGAGGCACGAAAGCGUGGGGAGCAAACAGG